UUGGAGGGCAAGUCUGGUGCCAGCAGCCGCGGUAAUUCCAGCUCCAAUAGCGUAUAUUAAAGUUGUUGCAGUUAAAAAGCUCGUAGUUGAAUUUUAGGCCUGGCCGGGCGGUCCGUCUUUGGCGAGUACUGUUCUGUGUCGGGUCUUACCUUCUGGUAAACCGGCAUGUUCUUUUAUUGUGUGUGCCGUGGGAACCAGACCAUUACCUUGAAAAAAUUAGAGUGUUUAAAGCGGGCUUUUGCUUGAAUAGAUUAGCAUGGAAUAAUAAAAUAGGACGUUGGUUCUAUUUUGUUGGUCUAGGACCACCGUAAUGAUUAAUAGGGAUAGUUGGGGGCAUUAGUAUUCAAUUGUCAGAGGUGAAAUUCUUGGAUUUAUUGAAGACUAACUAUUGCGAAAGCAUUUGCCAAGGAUGUUUUCAUUAAUCAAGAACGAAAGUUAGGGGAUCGAAGACGAUCAGAUACCGUCGUAGUCUUAACCAUAAACUAUGCCGACUAGGAAUCGGGCGUCGUUAUUUUCACGACUCGC
rnacentral:rRNA from 1 species